rnacentral:rRNA from 1 species
UCAAGCUACUAAGGGCCCCAAAUGGAUGCCUCGGCAGUGGGUGGCGAUGAAGGGCGUGGCUAGCUGCGAUAAGCCCCGGGGAGGUGCCAGCAACCUGUGAUCCGGGGAUUCCCGAAUGGGGCAACCUGGUAGGAUUAAUAUCCUAUCAUCCUUAGGGGCAACCCUAAGGAGGCGAACCCCCCGAAGUGAAACAUCUCAGUAGGGGGAGGAAAAGAAAGAAAAUUCGAUUCCCUGAGUAGCGGCGAGCGAAAGGGGAAGAGCCCAAACCGACCUGGGUGUUAAAGGCGGCAGCCGUUGCCCAGGCGGGGUAGUGGGACUUAACCGUGCCAGCUGCCGGGAGGCAGGGAAGUUACAAAACAUCUUGGAUAGCCGAACCGUCCUGGAAAGGCGGGCCACAGAAGGUGAUAGCCCUGUAGGCGAAAUCCAAGAUGUCUUCCUUGGUUAAGUUCCCAAGUACCGCGGGGCCCGUGGAACCCUGCGGGAAUCUGGGAGGACCACCUCCUAAGGCUAAAUACAACCCACUGACCGAUAGUGAACUAGUACCGUGAGGGAAAGGUGAAAAGAACCCCGGGAGGGGAGUGAAAUAGAACCUGAAAUUUGGGGCCUACAAUCAGCAGGAGCUCUGAAUUUCUUUGCCCUUUUGGGUUUUAGAAAUUCAGAGUGACUGCGUGCCUUUUGCAUAAUGAGCCGGCGAGUUAAUGUCGGGAGCGAGGUUAAGUCCAGUGUUAAUAGCACUGGAUGGAGCCGUAGCGAAAGCGAGUCCGAAAAGGGCGCUAAGUUCUCGGCAUUAGACCCGAAACCCGGUGAGCUACCCAUGGGCAGGGUGAAAUCGGCGUAACAGCCGGUGGAGGCCCGAACCGGUGGGUGUUGCAAUACCCUCGGAUGACCUGUGGGUAGGAGUGAAAGGCUAACCAAACCGGGUGAUAGCUGGUUCUCCCCGAAAUGCCUCUAGGGGCAGCCUCCGGAUUGUAUAGCGGAGGUAGAGCACUGGAUGGGUAACCCUGAACUCUGUUCAGGGAAGCCCAACCAAACUCCGAAUGCCGCUAUACUUAUCCGGGGAGAGAGGCGGUGGGGGAUAAGCUCCAUCGCCGAGAGGGGAAUAACCCAGACUACCGGCUAAGGCCCCAAAGUACUGGCUAAGUGGGAAAGGAGGUUGAGCUACUCAGACAGCUGGGAGGUUGGCUUAGAAGCAGCCAUCCUUUAAAGAGUGCGUAACAGCUCACCAGCCGAGUGGCUCAGCGCCGAAAAUUUACCGGGGCUUAAGCCAGUCGCCGAAGCCGUAGGCUUCCUUGGUUUAACCAAGGAAGCGGUAGGGGAGCGUUCCGCAGUAGGUUGAAGGCAUGGCGCAAGCCAUGCUGGACGAAGCGGAAGUGAUUAUGCCGGCACGAGUAGCGAUAAACCGGGUGAGAAUCCCGGUCGCCGGAAGCCCAAGGGUUUCUGGGGAAGGUUCGUCCGCCCAGAGUUAGCCGGGACCUAAGCCGAGGCCGAAAGGCGUAGGUGAUGGAAAAGCCGUCAACAUUCGGCUGCCACCUUAAUGCCGUUAUGAGCUAUGGGGUGACGCAGGAGGAAUGGCCGAGCCGUCUGUUGGCUUAGGCGGUCUAAGCUACGGUGAUGGGGCAUAGGCAAAUCCGUGCCCAUAAUUCACUGUAGCGAUGGGGAGUCUGUGGUUUUUCCACAGACGAACUCGGCCGGACCGAAUGCCGAGAAAAACCUCUAUGCCAGGCAUUAAGGUGCCCGUACCGGAAACCGACACAGGUGGGCGAGGAGAGUAUCCACAGGCGCGCGGGAUAACCCCCGUUAAGGAACUCGGCAAUUUGACCCCGUAACUUCGGGAGAAGGGGUGCCCUUUGGGGUGUAAAAAGCCUCGGAGGGCCGCAGUGAAGUGGGCCUGCCGACUGUUUAACAAAAACACAGGGCUCUGCCAAGCCGUAAGGCGAAGUAUAGGGCCUGACGCCUGCCCGGUGCCAGAAGGUUAAGGGAGGGGGUUAGCCGCAAGGCGAAGCUCCCGACCAAAGCCCUGGUAAACGGCGGCCGUAACUCUAACGGUCCUAAGGUAGCGAAAUUCCUUGUCGGGUAAGUUCCGACCUGCAUGAAUGGCGUAACGAGUGGGCCAGUGUCUCGACGGGGGACCCGGCGAAACUGUAGUGGCGGUGAAGAUGCCGCCUGCCCGCGAUCGGACAAAAAGACCCCGUGAACCUUUACUGCAGCCUGAUAUUGGGUUUCGGCAAAUCCUGUGUAGGAUAGGUGGGAGGCUGUGAAGCCCGGACGCCAGUUCGGGUGGAGCCGUCGGUGAAAUACCACCCUGGAUUUGUUGAAAUCCUAACCCUGACUGGUGAAUCCCAGCGGGGGACAGUGUCAGGUGGGCAGUUUGACUGGGGCGGUCGCCUCCUAAAAGGUAACGGAGGCGCCCAAAGGUCGGCUCAGCACGGACGGUAACCGUGUGGAGAGCGCAAGGGUAUAAGCCGGCCUGACUGCGAGACCGACAGGUCGAGCAGACGCGAAAGCGGGGCCUAGUGAUCCGGUGGUCCUGUGUGGAAGGGCCAUCGCUCAGCGGAUAAAAGGUACUCCGGGGAUAACAGGCUGAUCGGGCCCGAGAGUCCCCAUCGACGGCCCGGUUUGGCACCUCGAUGUCGGCUCAUCGCAUCCUGGGGCUGAAGCAGGUCCCAAGGGUUGGUCUGUUCGCCCAUUAAAGCGGUACGUGAGCUGGGUUCAGAGCGUCGUGAGACAGCUCGGACUCUAUCCAUCGCGGGCGUAGGAGACUUGAGGGAAGCUGUCCCUAGUACGAGAGGACCGGGACGGACGGACCUCUGGUGUACCAGCUGUGGCGCCAGCCGCAUCGCUGGGUAGCCAUGUCCGGAAGGGAUAACCGCUGAAAGCAUCUAAGCGGGAAGCCCCUCCCAAGAUAAGGUCUCCCUGAAGGCCCCAGGUAGACUACCUGGUUGAUAGGCCCCAGGUGUAAGACCCGCAAGGGUUUUAGCCGAGGGGUACUAAUAGGCCGUUCGGCUUGAA